rnacentral:tRNA from 2 species
CGCUUUCGUCCACUCAGCCAUCUCUCC